rnacentral:rRNA from 1 species
AACGCGAAGAACCUUACCAGGACUUGACAUCCCUAUGACGAGGCGAGUAGAUCGCCUUUCCUGCUUAUGGCAGGCAUAGGAGACAGGUGGUGCAUGGUUGUCGUCAGCUCGUGUCGUGAGAUGUUGGGUUAAGUCCCGCAACGAGCGCAACCCUUAUUCUUAGUAGCCAUCAGGUGAAGCUGGGCACUCUAAGGAGACUGCCGUGGAUAACACGGAGGAAGGUGGGGAUGACGUCAAAUCAUCAUGCCCCUUAUGUUUUGGGCUACACACGUGCUACAAUGGGCGAUACAAAGUGAAGCGAAGAGGCGACUCGGAGCAAAGCACAGAAAAGCGCCCUCAGUUCGGAUUGCAGUCUGCAACUCGACUGCAUGAAGAUGGAAUCGCUAGUAAUCGCGAGUCAGAAUGUCGCGGUGAAUACGUUCCCGGGUCUUGUACACACCG